rnacentral:rRNA from 1 species
CCUACGGGCGGCAGCAGUGGGGAAUAUUGCACAAUGGGGGAAACCCUGAUGCAGCGACGCCGCGUGAGUGAAGAAGUAUCUCGGUACGUAAAGCUCUAUCAGCAGGGAAGAAAAUGACGGUAUCUGACUAAGAAGCCCCGGCUAACUACGUGAAAGCAGCCGCGGUAAUACGUAGGGGGCAAGCGUUAUCCGGAGUUACUGGGUGGAAAGGGAGAGUAGACGGCAGCACAAGUCUGCAGUGAACUCCCGGGGCUUAACCCCGGAACUGCUUUGGAAACUGUGCGGCUGGAGUGCAGGAGGGGUAAGCGGAAUUCCUGGUGUAGCGGUGAAAUGCGUAGAUAUUAGGAGGAACACCGGUGGCGAAGGCGGCUUACUGGACUGUAACUGACGUUGAGGCUCGAAAGCGUGGGGAGCAAACAGGAUUAGAUACCCUGGUAGUC